UGGAGAUUUCCAUAUCAGUCUGGAAUAGACUUUUUUGGAGGUUUGCUGAAGGGAGGGUGACAUUGAACUGGCCACUACUGGAAUUGCUGUUCCUGAUUGUAUGGGGUCCUUCAAGGUACACUGUUAGUUAUAAAAGUCCGUGCAGAAAAUGAGUGAAAGAUCCAAAUUCAACUACUUACCCAUACUGUUACUGUUUUAUUAUGUAAAGUAAAUCAGAAAUGUAUCACUUAAAAA